rnacentral:rRNA from 1 species
UACAGAGGUGGCAAGCGUUGUUCGGAAUUACUGGGCGUAAAGAGCGCGUAGGCGGCCCGCUAAGUCGAACGUGAAAUCCCCGGGCUCAACCCGGGAACUGCGUCCGAUACUGGUGGGCUUGAAUCCGGGAGAGGGAUGCGGAAUUCCAGGUGUAGCGGUGAAAUGCGUAGAUAUCUGGAGGAACACCGGUGGCGAAGGCGGCAUCCUGGACCGGCAUUGACGCUGAGGCGCGAAAGCCAGGGGAGCAAAGCGGG